UACGUAGGCAGCAAGCGUUGUUCGGAGUUACUGGGCUUAAAGCGUGUGUAGGCGGGUGCCUAAGUACCUUGUGAAAUCCCACGGCUCAACCGUGGAACUGCUUGGUAUACUGGGUAUCUUGAGCCACUUAGGGGCAACCGAAACAAACGGUGGAGCGGUGAAAUGCGUAGAUAUCGUUUGGAACGCCAAUGGUGAAAACAGGUUGCUGAGUGUGCUGACGCUGAGACACGAAAGCCAGGGGAGCAAACGGG
rnacentral:rRNA from 1 species